rnacentral:lncRNA from 1 species
ACAAAUCAUCUUAUGAGUCUUCAGAUAUGGUUGGUGUGCAAUUGUCUUGAGGCAUAACCUGGUGACUCCCUCUCAGGUGAAUAUGUGGAAAAUGAAACAUGGAUGCUUCUUGGAAUCCUAGAAAGAGGUGUGUAGAGGUAUGAGUUGGGUGGUACCAUGACUCUUUUGGAUUCUUAAGUUGUUUGCUUCGUUUUAGGACUUUAGUUUUCCCAAGCUCCAUCUUGGAUGUAAUUUCUAAAGCCUUCAGUUCUCUUGUCCCUUGUAGAAAAUCUAACACAUAACGUCUCACUUCAAUAUGACAGCCCCAAAGUUUUCUUCAAAAGUUCAUUUUCUUUCACUUAUGUGCAAGAUUUUGUAGAUUAUUUUUUAUAUCAGUACCCGUACAACUAUUCAACAUGAAUAUUCCUAAAGCAUAUGAUGAGCCUUAGGUAAUUUCAAUUGGAACUCUCCACCAUGAAAAUCAUGGUUUCAAAGCCACCAAAGAGCUUAAGCUCCCUUUUCUUAAUAGCUAUCUAUGUCGCAUAAAUGUGAGCGUUCAAGGCAUUGUGGAAAUGGCUCGAAGUUGGAAUACAAAGAAAGUCGUUCCACCCAUAGCUGCUUCUUGCUGAGAUAGAUUCUGGUCAAUCACACUUAAUUAUCUAAUUUAUAAACUUUUGAAAACUUUGUUUAUUUGAUUUUCCUUUUUAUAUUUGGUAGUAUCCUUUAGCAAAGGAACAAAUUAACCCCUGCUGUUGUACCAACAAAUUUUGACAGAACACAAUAAACUCCUCUCUAUCCCUUUCUCAUUUUCAACCCCUGCCUUUUCUUUUUACCCAAAAAAAAGAAAAAGAAAUGUAACUCUCUUUUAUAUAACCUCUUCUCUAACUUUCUCAAGAAAAUUCUUAAGUGGAUUUGUAAGAUUAAUGGUUUUUGUUAAAAAAUAGAGUAAUGUAAUCUAUUAACUAAUCAAAUGGUACAAAGUUUAACAUGGUAUCAGUUCAGAUAGUGAGCAACAAAAUGACAGAUUGUUAGAUGUAUAUAUCUCAGUAACUUAGAGUGUUAAGAACUUUAAUAUGUCAUCAAGCUUUUGAUUUCUUAUCAUGUUUGCUGGCUGGCUGUGGAUAUAUAUUUAGCAUUCAGUAGAAAUUUCAGGACAUGGGUGGGUAAAAAAAAGUUUCCUGAUUUUUAUCUGCUCUUCAUGAGAAAAAAAAAAUGCAAGAGGGGCUUAAGGAAUGAACUAGGAUUAGGAAAACCACAAAUUUUUUUCCCUUUUUUUCACAACGACCAACUGAACAGAAACUCUAUCUCCAUUAAUGAGUGAAUAUUUAUAAGCCAAAGAUCUGAAACUGAUGCACAGUUCAUUAUUUGAACUUCCUUCAAAAACUAUCUAAAAAUCUAAUCUUGCUCUUGGACUUACCUCUGGAGACAUGUACUCCAUUUGGAUUGUAAAACUAAUUGUCGAAUUAACUAAUCUAUGUAAUCUAAUAUAUUGUCUACAAAGAUAGAUUGUAAAAACUCAAGAUGGAUCAUUUACUGAUCUACUCACUUACCUUCUCUGUAUUUUGUUUAUUCAAAGACAUGGGCCAAACUUAUUCAACUACAGUGUCUCUAUGUUACGAGACUUAUGACUAAUGACAAGUAUUACAAUUUUCUUUCUUUUUUAUUUUUUGUAGUAUGACUAAUAUUGACUUCAAUAACUCUUUGCUCCACAUGGGCUACGUGACUUCAAGUGUGAAGAAGUAACUAGUAGCUGGGAGGUAGUUAUACAUGUCAUUGAAUUGGGAUAUACUUUGUUUUUUUUUUACUGCAGAACUCUUGUACUCAAACUGAUGUUUUAUUGAUUUUCCAAUAUCAGAUUGUGUAUAUGACUAUUAAAUUUCCCAAUCAUUUUCCAAUAACUCAAAAGAACGUCUGUUCUUGCUGCUAUGAAUCUAUAGAAUGAGAAAUACUUAGGGACGUGCAUAAUAAUAAUGCUUGAGAAUUAGCUUGCUUUCUUUGUUCUUCAAGCUAUAUAUGACCAGCUAGUUUCUUCCAACAAACAUGACCAAGGUUGGGAUGAUGGAAGAAGAUGGUGUUCGAAAAAUGAAAGGAAGGAGGAAGAGCAUACUUAGCUACGAAAAUCGGAGGAGUGGAUAGCAAAUUAGAGAGAUGGAGAGAGUUUUCGUGAAAGGGGAAAGGUAAUUUCAUAAGUAACCAAAUAGUAAAAAGUUUUCUUCCAUUCUAAACAUUAUACUACA